UUCUUCAACAAGCAGCACUUUAAAACUCUUUUUCGCAUAUUUUUCAACUCUUUUUUUUUUUUUUUUUUUUUUUUUCAACUCUUCUUUUCUUUUCAACAAGCAUAAUAACUCACACUUCCCCCACACUUGUUUUCUGCCAUACAUUAAUCAAAAGAAAUUCAAUUUGAAUCAUGUUUUACUAUGCUUCAAGAACAAGGGUAUGGAUGAUCCUAAACUAGGCUAGUUAAGGAUAAUGUGGUUUAACAAAGAAUGUAGGCUAUCAAGGCUCAAUGGGGUUAACUUAAACAUAUAAC
rnacentral:lncRNA from 1 species